rnacentral:ncRNA from 1 species
GUAAAAAAUUUAUAAGAAUAUGAUGUUGGUUCAGAUUAAGCGCUAAAUAAGGACAUGACACAUGCGAAUCAUACGUUUAUUAUUGAUAAGAUAAUAAAUAUGUGGUGUAAACGUGAGUAAUUUUAUUAGGAAUUAAUGAACUAUAGAAUAAGCUAAAUACUUAAUAUAUUAUUAUAUAAAAAUAAUUUAUAUAAUAAAAAGGAUAUAUAUAUAAUAUAUAUUUAUCUAUAGUCAAGCCAAUAAUGGUUUAGGUAGUAGGUUUAUUAAGAGUUAAACCUAGCCAACGAUCCAUAAUCGAUAAUGAAAGUUAGAACGAUCACGUUGACUCUGAAAUAUAGUCAAUAUCUAUAAGAUACAGCAGUGAGGAAUAUUGGACAAUGAUCGAAAGAUUGAUCCAGUUACUUAUUAGGAUGAUAUAUAAAAAUAUUUUAUUUUAUUUAGUUCCGGGGCCCGGCCACGGGAGCCGGAACCCCGAAAGGAGAAAUAUUAAAUAUUUAUAAUAAUAAUAAUAAUAAUAUAUAUAUAUAAAUUGAUUAAAAAUAAAAUCCAUAAAUAAUUAAAAUAAUGAUAUUAAUUACCAUAUAUAUUUUUAUAUGGAUAUAUAUAUUAAUAAUAAUAUUAAUUUUAUUAUUAUUAAUAAUAUAUUUUAAUAGUCCUGACUAAUAUUUGUGCCAGCAGUCGCGGUAACACAAAGAGGGCGAGCGUUAAUCAUAAUGGUUUAAAGGAUCCGUAGAAUGAAUUAUAUAUUAUAAUUUAGAGUUAAUAAAAUUGAUUAAAGAAUUAUAAUAGUAAAGAUGAAAUAAUAAUAAUAAUUAUAAGACUAAUAUAUGUGAAAAUAUUAAUUAAAUAUUAACUGACAUUGAGGGAUUAAAACUAGAGUAGCGAAACGGAUUCGAUACCCGUGUAGUUCUAGUAGUAAACUAUGAAUACAAUUAUUUAUAAUAUAUAUUAUAUAUAAAUAAUAAAUGAAAAUGAAAGUAUUCCACCUGAAGAGUACGUUAGCAAUAAUGAAACUCAAAACAAUAGACGGUUACAGACUUAAGCAGUGGAGCAUGUUAUUUAAUUCGAUAAUCCACGACUAACCUUACCAUAUUUUGAAUAUUAUAAUAAUUAUUAUAAUUAUUAUAUUACAGGCGUUACAUUGUUGUCUUUAGUUCGUGCUGCAAAGUUUUAGAUUAAGUUCAUAAACGAACAAAACUCCAUAUAUAUAAUUUUAAUUAUAUAUAAUUUUAUAUUAUUUAUUAAUAUAAAGAAAGGAAUUAAGACAAAUCAUAAUGAUCCUUAUAAUAUGGGUAAUAGACGUGCUAUAAUAAAAUGAUAAUAAAAUUAUAUAAAAUAUAUUUAAUUAUAUUUAAUUAAUAAUAUAAAACAUUUUAAUUUUUAAUAUAUUUUUUUAUUAUAUAUUAAUAUGAAUUAUAAUCUGAAAUUCGAUUAUAUGAAAAAAGAAUUGCUAGUAAUACGUAAAUUAGUAUGUUACGGUGAAUAUUCUAACUGUUUCGCACUAAUCACUCAUCACGCGUUGAAACAUAUUAUUAUCUUAUUAUUUAUAUAAUAUUUUUUAAUAAAUAUUAAUAAUUAUUAAUUUAUAUUUAUUUAUAUCAGAAAUAAUAUGAAUUAAUGCGAAGUUGAAAUACAGUUACCGUAGGGGAACCUGCGGUGGGCUUAUAAAUAUCUUAAAUAUUCUUACA